rnacentral:rRNA from 1 species
AGCGAACGCUGGCGGCAGGCCUAACACAUGCAAGUCGAACGAACUCUUCGGAGUUAGUGGCGGACGGGUGUGUCACCCGUGGGAACGUGCCCUUUGGUUCGGCAUACCUCAGGGAAACUUGUGCUAAUACCGAAUGUGCCCUUCGGGGGAAAGAUUUAUCGCCAUUGGAGCGGCCCGCGUCUGAUUAGCUAGUUGGUGAGGUAACGGAUCACCAAGGCGCCGAUCAGUAGCUGGUCUGAGAGGAUGACCAGCCACACUGGGACGAGGACACGGCCGAGACUCCUACGGGAGGCAGCAGUGGGGAAUCUUGCGCAAUGGGCGAAGGCCUGACGCAGCCAGGCCGCGUGAAUGAUGAAGGUCUUAGGAUUGUAAAAUUCUUUCACCGGGGACGAUAAUGACGGUACCCGGAGAAGAAGCCCCGGCUAACUUCGUG